CCUACGGGAGGCAGCAGUGAGGGAUAUUGCGCAAUGGGCGAAAGCCUGACGCAGCGACGCCGCGUGGGCGAGGAAGGCCUUCGGGUUGUAAAGCCCUUUUGGCAGGGAAGAGCAAGGACUGUACCUGCAGAACAAGUCACGGCUAACUACGUGCCAGCAGCCGCGGUAAGACGUAGGAGGCGAGCGUUAUCCGGAUUUACUGGGCGUAAAGCGCACGCAGGCGGCUUCGUUAGUCGGAUGUGAAAGCUCCUGGCUUAACUGGGAGAGGCCAUUCGAUACUGCGGGGCUGGAGGUUGGAAGAGGGGUGUGAAAUUCCCGGUGUAGGGGUGGAAUGCGUAGAGAUCGGGAGGAACACCCGUGGCGUAGGCGGCGUCCUGGCCGACACCUGACGCUGAAGCGCGAAAGCGUGGGGAGCGAACGGGAUUAGAUCCCCCU
rnacentral:rRNA from 1 species